rnacentral:snoRNA from 1 species
UUAAGCAGCUUAAAAAUAAAAAUAGCAGGGCCAGAUUUGCAGGAACAGAUGUGAACAUUAUAGCAGCAGUUUGAUGUUCAUGUAUGACACUGCAAACAGGA